rnacentral:rRNA from 1 species
GAUAGGAGGGGGAUAACUACUGGAAACGGUAGCUAAUACCGCAUAACGUCGCAAGACCAAAGAGGGGGACCUUCGGGCCUCUUGCCAUCAGAUGUGCCCAGAUGGGAUUAGCUAGUAGGUGGGGUAACGGCUCACCUAGGCGACGAUCCCUAGCUGGUCUGAGAGGAUGACCAGCCACACUGGAACUGAGACACGGUCCAGACUCCUACGGGAGGCAGCAGUGGGGAAUAUUGCACAAUGGGCGCAAGCCUGAUGCAGCCAUGCCGCGUGUAUGAAGAAGGCCUUCGGGUUGUAAAGUACUUUCAGCGGGGAGGAAGGCGAUAAGGUUAAUAACCUUGUCGAUUGACGUUACCCGCAGAAGAAGCACCGGCUAACUCCGUGCCAGCAGCCGCGGUAAUACGGAGGGUGCAAGCGUUAAUCGGAAUUACUGGGCGUAAAGCGCACGCAGGCGGUCUGUCAAGUCGGAUGUGAAAUCCCCGGGCUCAACCUGGGAACUGCAUUCGAAACUGGCAGGCUGGAGUCUUGUAGAGGGGGGUAGAAUUCCAGGUGUAGCGGUGAAAUGCGUAGAGAUCUGGAGGAAUACCGGUGGCGAAGGCGGCCCCCUGGACAAAGACUGACGCUCAGGUGCGAAAGCGUGGGGGAGCAAACAGGGAUUAGAUACCCCUGGGUAGUCCACGCUGUAAACGGAUGGUCGACUUGGGAGGGUUGGUUCCCCUUGGAGGGAGGUGGGCUUCCGGGAGGAGCUAACGCGUUAAGUCGACCGCCUGGGGAGUACGGCCGCAAGGUUAAAACUCAAAUGAAUUGACGGGGGCCCGCACAAGCGGUGGAGCAUGUGGUUUAAUUCGAUGCAACGCGAAGAACCUUACCUACUCUUGACAUCCAGAGAACUUAGCAGAGAUGCUUUGGUGCCUUCGGGAACUCUGAGACAGGUGCUGCAUGGCUGUCGUCAGCUCGUGUUGUGAAAUGUUGGGUUAAGUCCCGCAACGAGCGCAACCCUUAUCCUUUGUUGCCAGCGGUUCGGUCGGGAACUCAAAGGAGACUGCCAGUGAUAAACUGGAGGAAGGUGGGGAUGACGUCAAGUCAUCAUGGCCCUUACGAGUAGGGCUACACACGUGCUACAAUGGCAUAUACAAAGAGAAGCGACCUCGCGAGAGCAAGCGGACCUCAUAAAGUAUGUCGUAGUCCGGAUUGGAGUCUGCAACUCGACUCCAUGAAGUCGGAAUCGCUAGUAAUCGUGGAUCAGAGGCCACGGUGAA